rnacentral:rRNA from 1 species
UGGGGAAUAUUGGACAAUGGGCGCAAGCCUGAUCCAGCCAUGCCGCGUGAGUGAUGAAGGCCCUAGGGUUGUAAAGCUCUUUCACCGGUGAAGAUAAUGACGGUAACCGGAGAAGAAGCCCCGGCUAACUUCGUGCCAGCAGCCGCGGUAAUACGAAGGGGGCUAGCGUUGUUCGGAUUUACUGGGCGUAAAGCGCACGUAGGCGGACUUUUAAGUCAGGGGUGAAAUCCCGGGGCUCAACCCCGGAACUGCCUUUGAUUCUGGAAGUCUUGAGUAUGGUAGAGGUGAGUGGAAUUCCGAGUGUAGAGGUGAAAUUCGUAGAUAUUCGGAGGAACACCAGUGGCGAAGGCGGCUCACUGGACCAUUACUGACGCUGAGGUGCGAAAGCGUGGGGAGCAAACAGG